GCGGCGCCUCGCCAUGGUCGACUGAUGUGGGGUCCCUCCACCUUCACUAUCCCUGACCACGACCUCGAGUGGCGGCGCCACCGGUUCUCUCUGUGUGCCCCUCCGCCGCUGCGUCGCCGGUAUCUCGCUGAAAGGCGCGUCGAGCUUGCCAGAUCGGCCCUGCCGCCGCGGAUCCACUUCAUCCCUAUGUUGAUUCGGAGCUGACCUUGAGGCGAUCGCCGAUGAUUGGAUUGAGGGGGCUCCCUUGAGGCAACACCGAGAUGACGGUCUGCUGCAACUCUGCGGCAAGGACAACGCGCGACAGUUAGCUGGUGAUUUGAGUGAAGGGGCUCUCAUGCGGAGAUGUCGACGGGCUGCAAGUCAGGGACAAUGGGUAUGUAGCAGUGGAGGCAUCCCAUCUUCCUUCCUCUGCUUAUGCGCGCAGGUGCUUUGGCCAUUGGUCUCCACAAAUUCUUGAGAAGUCAUGUUGCCUCUUGCGACCCCCUCUGCUGUAUAGUAUCACACCAUUGAGCUGCCCUCUGGUUCCUAAGUAUCCAGAAAAGAAUGCAUAUCUUACUUAAGGAUGAUGGUUCCCUUAAUUGAUUGCAUAACUGCUGGUAUUUGUACUAAAGGUUGAACAUCAAAGGAAGUUCUGAUGAGCAAGAGGUGCCUUUAAUGGUUGAAGUUCCAAUUUAUACAACAAGAUGGUGUGUGUGUGUGUGUCUGUGUCUGUGUGUGUGUGAAAGCUAGAGAUGGAAAUAGAUCUGUUGGUUCAACAAGUGAUGAACAGAGUAGUCACUCCCAUAGGUACUUUUUUUGCAAGAAUCCCAUAGGUACUGUUGUUUGAUUGAAUAUACUUAUAUGCAUUUCUAAUUAAUUUAACUUAUUUAUUGGAAUAGGUUUCCACAAUUCAAUAUCUACUAAGAUUGAUCAUUUAGAGUUAGUGCACUGGACAUGUUAUUGGGAUUAUUUCAGUAGAAGGUAUCUGGACUUCUGUUGCACUCGAGGGAUUGG